rnacentral:ncRNA from 1 species
GCUUGGGGACGACCCCAGCUGCGGACAAAUUCGGGGACGACCCCA